GGGGACCGCGGAAGCCAAGCCAGGGACCUCCACCCCGGCCCCUGGGCCCUGUCGAGGGGCUGCCCUGGAGGGCUGCCAGCAGGAGGCCGGCCUACUCAUUGGAGCCCCUCAGCCCCACAUGCCUGUGAAAGUAGAAUGUGAGCAGUUUGCUAUUCCUGGUUCAGCAGGUGUCCUCCAUGUCUGGGCCAAAGAGGGAAUCUGGGGGAAGUGUUCAGCUCUCAGCGCCGAGAAGGAAGAGGCGAGUGGGAACCUGAAGGCUGAGAAGAUGGAGACGGGCCCUCGCUCUGCCGGUGCCACCUGGGUGACCCACUGAGGUCUCUCGGGUUGGAAGGAUGCCGCCUGCCGCUUCCAGGGGGACCUUGCAGA